rnacentral:rRNA from 1 species
UACAGAGGUCUCAAGCGUUGUUCGGAUUCAUUGGGCGUAAAGGGUGCGUAGGCGGCGUGGUAAGUCGGAUGUGAAAUCUCGGAGCUUAACUCCGAAACUGCAUUCGAUACUGCCGUGCUUGAGGACUGGAGAGGAGACUGGAAUUUACGGUGUAGCAGUGAAAUGCGUAGAGAUCGUAAGGAAGACCAGUGGCGAAGGCGGGUCUCUGGACAGUUCCUGACACUGAGGCACGAAGGCCAGGGGAGCAAACGGG